rnacentral:rRNA from 1 species
GACGAACGCUGGCGGCGUGCUUAACACAUGCAAGUCGAACGGAAAGGCCCUGCUUUUGUGGGGUGCUGUAGGGGCGAACGGGUGAGUAACACGUGAGUAACCUGCCCUUGACUUUGGGAUAACUUCAGGAAACUGGGGCUAAUACCGGAUAGGAGCUCCUGCUGCAUGGUGGGGGUUGGAAAGUUUCGGCGGUUGGGGAUGGACUCGCGGCUUAUCAGCUUGUUGGUGGGGUAGUGGCUUACCAAGGCUUUGACGGGUAGCCGGCCUGAGAGGGUGACCGGCCCCAUUGGGACUGAGAUACGGCCCAGACUCGUACGGGAGGCAGCAGUGGGGAAUAUUGCAUAAUGGGAGGAAGCCUGAUGCAGUCACGCAGCGUGGGGGAUGACGUCAAUCGGGUUGUAAACCGCUUCCGCCUGUGACGAAGCGUGAGUGACGGUACUGGGUAAAGAAGCACCGGCUAACUCCGUG